AGCAGAAAUAGUAGCCAAAUUGGCUGCACUAUGUGUAAAAGAUGCAUUAUCCAUGAUAGAAGCUACGGGAGGUCAGAAACUGAUUAUCAGUUAAAUGGAACAAAAAAAAAAGAGAGGUCCUGUAAGAUGUUCUCCAUUCCUCCUUUGCUUAUUACCAGGCGAUGACUAAUAAUCACUCUAUGAAAAGUACCAUGGGGAAUAAGUUAUGACUUGUUCACUCAACAAGAUGAAAGACCCUCCCUCCUGAAAAACAGAUGCUCUUCAUGAGGGAGCAAGAGUACCGCGAAAGUCAACUCAGGGCGCUCUGGUUUCUUCUGUAACUCUCACUACCUCACCCUCACCACCACUGUACUAUUUAGAAAUUUUGAAAGAAAUACCAGACA